AUGAGGCCGUCAGAUCUUAAGUUUGAGAAAUUGCAGUUGUGGGCUAGGGUUCUUAACUUGCCUUUCAACUUGCGAUCGGAUUCUUGGGGAAAAGCGAUUGCUAAACAAAUAGACAAGGAUGCAACCUCAGUACAGUUUGAUCCUGUAGGAGGCUUUCUGAGAGCUAGGGUUACGAUUGAUGCGAGUAAACCCUUACGCAGAUGGAUUUUGAUUGAUUCGGCAAAGAGGAAGUCUAGGGACUGGUAUGACAUCCAAUAUGAACAAGUCCCGAAUUUCUGCUUCUCGUGUGGUCGUCUAGGCCACUCUGAUCUAGUUUGUCCUACCCCGGGAACUCGCGAUGAAAACGGAGACCUGCCUUUCAACACAAGUCUGCGGGCGCCCGAGGAUUGGAAAGCUUCUGGCUCGAGCGAUGGAUCUUUCAAGGAACCUCAGAACUCAACAUCUAACAAGAAAGAUGCAUCAUCUUCAAGCAAUAAGGCGGCUACCUAUGCUGAAGUCACAUCCCCAGUUAAGAGGAGAGAUAACCCAAAGAGAAAGGGUGGACCUCAGUUAGGGCAAGUUUAUCGUAGGGUUGAUCUGCUGGCUCUGCCUGGUAAAGAAAGCAAUCAGAUUACUGGUGGUGCCCCUACUGAUAUGGUGAUUUUUCAAGCGCAGAAAAGUGAUGGCGCAGUUGAUCCUAAUGAAGAUGCACAUGGUGAGGCUAAUGGUGACUAA
rnacentral:rRNA from 1 species